AACCACUAGCACAACACAAAACCCCCAAACAGUGAAUUCCAUCUUUUCCAUAAAAUUCUUUUACUGCCACAACACACAAGAGCAUACAGCAGGUUAUCUCAGGCUGAUGUCUAAUAACUAGAUAUUAAGGGGCUUUGAGUUUUUCAGAGUGGAUGUUAUCUGAAGUUGGGACUUCAUCUGUUCCCUAAUAGUGAAUUUGUAGUGAACCUAGGACUAGAAAUUUGGUCUCCUAAAGCCUAGUCAGGGAGUUUAUUAUGUGACAGAAAGGAGUAUAGCUUUCUUCUUUAAAACUACAGAACAUAUGACUUUCAUAUUUUAGCAGAAGAGAAAAUACAUUGCAUUAAAGUAUAGUUUGUGGAGUAUUUUACUUUCUUUAGAUAAAAAGAGGUAUGCCAACAAAAGAUGUUUUGGGAGAAGCUAUAAUAGAGCACUGGCACCAGCUCAAAAUCCCACUCCAUCCUCGCCUCUCCCGGCACUCUGCAGAGCAUCACUGGAGGAAAGUUCCUUGAGUGGGUGAGCCAAACGUUCGCGUUCCAGCCUCUCCGAGUUGAAGCCACAGAGAAUUCUGAGCCACAGCACAGGUGACAAUCACUGUUCCUCUAGAGAAUGAUGUUCCAAAGGACUGUGGCUACAGUCACUGCAUAGAAUUCAAGAGAGUGAAAAGCAACUGAAACAUGGCUGCAGUGUCCCGCCCGGUGUCAGCCAGUGUUACCUGAGCCACUUUCCAUGGGGGAAGUAACUGCAUCUGAGAACUUCUAUGUUUCCCAUGAGCAUACUCUCUGGAUUGUACCAUAUGAUGAGGUCUUUUCAUACAUGAUCCUCACUCAGCCACUCAUUAAGGUGAUCAGCAAAAGUCAAAAUAAUAGGAAAGGCUGAAAAAAAUGACUUUUAAAAAAUUAUAAAGGUAAGUUUUUCCAAACCAUUCAUUUUGGUAGAGAAAAAAAUAUAGAGUCUGGAUAGCAAGUUUACAAGUCUAUAAGGAGGCAGGAGGAUCACUUGAAUCCAGACUCCAUCUCUAAAAAAUGGUUUUGAGGAAAAAGAAAAUCAGUUUAUAGUGGAACAUAUGUGGUUCCACUUCCUCACUGCCUCAGCUUGACCAUCCUAAGAAAAAUCACUUCAAGGCUAUGUUUUUUGUGUGUGCAUUCCCAGGAGCCAAGUAGCUCUAGACAUCAUGUAAAUGGCACUUGGGGGGGGAGACUUUAUAGAAAAUUACAGAUGGAGGUUACAUCCUGCCACUCAUUCAAGCUAGGACCACAGAAGGAAACCUUUCUCCUCUGUUUUAAUUGUUCAGGACCCUGAAACAGUGGACUAGACUAGUUCAAACCAAAGAAUGUCUUAGGAUAUACCCACUUGGAGGACCAGCACCUGGCGGGUGCUGGUUCUACAUGCUCUUCAGCUGUUCAGGGAUAUAAAAAGGCAU